GGGUCUCCAUGACUCCCCUUGGCCCCAGGACAAUAGCACAAGUUUGCACACUCGACUACUGUCACCCUGCCAACGCUGGCAAGGAGCAGAAACAGGACAAUCCUUUAAGGGGAAAGCAUGCCCACUGCAGGGAAGGGAUCCAAAACACUGAAGACGAGUUCUAAGGCACAGAAUCUAUCUGGCGAUAGCGUUUUCCAUCUAAACUGUGUGAACGUCCUGGGAGCACAUGAGAUAGAAACAGGU
rnacentral:lncRNA from 11 species